AAUCAACGCUGGCGGCGUGCCUCAGACAUGCAAGUCGAACGAUUAAAGCUCUCUUCGGAGAGUGUAUAGAGUGGCGCACGGGUGAGUAACACGUAAGUAAUCUACCUUUGAGUGGGGAAUAACAGUCGGAAACGGCUGCUAAUACCGCAUAACGCAGCGGCACCGCAAGGUGACAGUUGUUAAAGGAGCAAUCCGCUUAAAGAGGAGCUUGCGGCAGAUUAGCUUGUUGGUAAGGUAACGGCUUACCAAGGCUACGAUCUGUAUCCGGUCUAAGAGGACGGUCGGACACACUGACACUGAAUAACGGGUCAGACUCCUACGGGGAGGCAGCAGUCGGGAAUUUUGGGCAAUGGGCGAAAGCCUGACCCAGCAACGCCGCGUGAAGGAUGAAGUAUUUCGGUAUGUAAACUUCGAAAGAAUAGGAAGAAUAAAUGACGGUACUAUUUAUAAGCUCCGGCUAACUACGUGCCAGCAG
rnacentral:rRNA from 1 species